GGAGGGAUGGCAGAGUCCGGUUGAAUGCGCAUGACUCGAAAUCAUGUGUGCUCGUAAGAGCACCGGGGGUUCAAAUCCCUCUCCCUCCG
rnacentral:tRNA from 1 species